GAGACGGUGACGUUAAGCAAAUCCCAGAAAUAAGUCCCAGUUCGGAUUGUAGUCUGCAACCCGACUACAUGAAGCUGGAAUCGCUAGUAAUCGCGAAUCAGAAUGUCGCGGUGAAUACGUUCCCGGGUCUUGUACACACCGCCCGUCACACCAUGGGAGUCGGAAAUGCCCGAAGUCAGUGACCCAACCGUAAGGAGGGAGCUGCCGAAGGUGGAGCCGGUAACUGGGGUGAAGUCGUAACAAGGUACC
rnacentral:rRNA from 1 species